GCCUCGCGGGGCUGCAGCUGCUCGGUUGGGCGGCGGGAGAGCGGCUCGCCUGCCCUGGCCGGGGACGGAGGAGUCGCGGCUGUCGACCCUGGCGGGAGUUGGAAGCCGCCGGAGGGUGAGGCGGGAGGGACGGUGAGACGGGCGGCGGCAGCUGGGCCGCAGUCUUUUUUUUUUUUUAAAUAUGUAGCGGCGAGUUUUGCAUAUCGUUUUUAAAGAUUUUAUUCAUGCGAGACAGACAGAGAGAGGCGGAGACCCGGGCGGAGGGAGAAGCGGGCUCCCUGGAGGGAACCCGAUGCGGGCCUCGAUCCCGGGACUCCAGGAUCACGCCCGGGCCUGCAGGCAGGCGCCACACCGCUGCGCCACCGGGGACCCCUGGGCCGCAGUCUUAAUGCAGCUCCCCUCGGCUGCCGACGCCGCGGCUCUUGCGGAGGCUUCCGGGCGCCUCAGCCCCGGGUCUCCUCCCGCGUAGCCUCCCGCGGCCCGAAGCCGCCGGCCCUCACUCCGGCCCCCGCCCAGGUCGCCGGGCUCUCGGAGAACGCGGGCGGCCCGCGCCGACUUCCCCAAACUCACCUCUUUCGUGGCAGUGUGGGCGCAGCCUUGGAAGCCGAAUUUACACAGAGCAAUAAAUCUGAUUUACACAUCUUUUUGUCGUGAACUUUGGACCUUGAUUUAAAUGUGCAAUGAUGGAUCAUUCAAAAUAGCAAGCACAGAGCGUCUCCCACUGGCACCUAAAAAUCGUAAAAUCGGACCAAUAGAGGCAAAGAGGCGAAACACAGGCAGAGGGAGAAGCAGACUUCCUGCAGGGAGCUGGAUGCAAGACUGAACUUGAUCCGGGGACCCCGGCAUCAUCUCGGGAUCAAGCCCUGAGCUGAGGGCACACGCUCAACCACUGAGCCACCCAGGCCUCCUAUAUGCUCAUCAUUCUUGCAUAGAAAGUCCAAGCCUGGAAAGCUAAUCAUCAAAACUUACCACCUGAAAAGGUGUGAGAAGAGUGGGUGAGGAUAGAACAUUUUUUUUUACAUUAUAUAUGUCAACACUACCUGAAUUAUUUUACAGCAUGCAUUAUGUAAGUUCAUUUAUUUAUUUGAAGAGAGAAGAGCGAGUGCGAACACAAGUGAGGAGGAGGGGCAGAGAAGACGCAGGCUCUCCACUGAGCAGGGAGCCUGAUAACCAGGCUCAUGCCAGGACCCUGCAAUCAUGACCUCAGCCAGAGGCACACGUUAAACGGGACUUAGCCACCCAGAUGCCCCUAAAGUGGAAACUUUAAAUAGAUCUUGUGAAACACCAAUUAUAACUGAAAGCAGUGUUUCUCAAAGUAUGACUCACAAAUCACCUGAUUCAGAAUCACCUUGACUUCUGACUCUUGGGAUCCACAGGAGUAUGUGGAAGAAAUCUCUGGUGGGGCCUAGGAAUCUGAGUUUAAUAAGCAGCCUCAGGAAAUCUUAGAAAUACUAGAAUUGGAGAACUAAAGAAUGAGGGGCACCUGGCUGGUUCAGUUGUAGAGCGUGUGACUCUUAAUCUUGGGGUUGUGAAUUCAAGCCCCAUGUUGAGGGUGAAGGUUACUUUUUAAAACAUAAAAAACUGAAGAAGGAGAUAGCCAAGUUGGGCUUGAGACUUGCCUGCGUUAAGUAAAGACAACAAAAUAAUGAGGCCUUCUAUAUUGAGUCCUAUAUUUUCAAAGCUUUUUAAUGCUUUUUCCCAAAGUAAUCAGGAUAGAUAUUACCCUCAUUUUAGAGAUUAAAUGGUUAAAGUACUUGAUAUCACUUUCCUGAGGUGCUUUUCCUUAUACGGUAACAAGUUUCUGGUCCUUACUAUAUAUGUCCUCACUAUACUUUAAGGAUCCAGGAAUCUUACUAUGGUUUUUGUAUUGGAAGCCAGAGAAGCCUGAAGCACUUAUUUUAUGUAUGAAAUAUGGCCACAAAAUGCUUGAGAAUUCUUUCUAGAAAAUCUUUUUUUUUUUUUAAGAUUUUAUUUACUUAUUCAUAGAGGUGCAGAGAGAGAGAUAGAGGCAGAGACACAGGCAGAGGGAGAAGCAGGCUCCAUGCAGAGAGCCUGACCUGGGACUCCAUCCCAGGACUCCAGGAUCAUGCCCUGGGCUGCAGGUGGCGCUAAACCGCUGCGCCACGGGGGCUGCCCUAGAAAAUCUUAACUAAUUUUGCUGUAUCUCUUUGCAGACAGACUUAGGUUUUUGGUUUUUCUAUUUAAUAUCUGCAUGAUUUGGGGCAAAUUGUCUAAACUCCCUAUGCUUCAGUUUCUUCAUCAGAAAACUAGAAUAAUGUCUACUUCAUAGUAUUAUUAUGAGGAUCACAGUAAAUGUAAUGGUGUAUAAAGCACCUAGCAUAGGACCUAUACAUGGCAAAUGUGCAGUGACUUCGUUCUCUUCAUCAUUCCAACUCUUAUCUCAACCUUCCUACCACAGCCACCCACCACACCUAAAGCCGUUCACAACAUUACAAAACCUACGCUAGGGAAAGAAACAUUUGCUGUGGAAAAAUAUCAUGUCUUUUGACUCCAGAAGAUUUUUUAUAAAAUUUUCCACACUUGUAUUUAUUAGAGCAGGAAUUGGCAGACUUUUUCUAUAGAGCCCAAUAAUAAAUGUUUUAGGCCUUUGGGGUCAUAUGUUCUCUGUGGCAAGUACUCAGCUCUGCCGUUGUAGCACAAAAGCAGCCAUAGGCAAUAUGUAACAGCUGUGUUCCGAUAAAACAUUUACAGAAUCAAGCAACUUGGAACGCCUGGGUGGCUCAGAGGUUUAGCGCCUCCCUUUGGCCCAGGGUGUGAUCCUGGAGUCCUGGGACCUGUUCCCACAUUAGGCUCCGUGCAUGGGGCCUGCUUCUCCAUCUGUCUGUGUCUCUGCCUCUCUCUCUCUCUCUCUCUCUCUCUGUCUCUCAAAAUAAAUAAAUAAAAUCUUAAAAAAAAAAAAAAAAAAAACAAAAGAAUCGAGCAGCUGGCCAUAUUUGGCCUGCAGGCCAUAGUUCAUUGACCCCUGCAUUAAAUGAUUCCUCUAUUAAAAAUAACUGCUGUGGGAUCCCUGGGUGGCGCAGCGGUUUAGGCGCCUGCCUUUGGCCCAGGGCGCGAUCCUGGAGACCCGGGAUCGAAUCCCACGUCGGGCUCCCGGUGCAUGGAGCCUGCUUCUCCCUCUGCCUGUGUCUCUGCCUCUCUCUCUCUAUGUGACUAUCAAAAAUAAAUAAAAAAAAAUUAAAAAAAAAUAACUGCUGUAAGUCAUGUCCUUUUUCUAAAGAGAUGUAUGUUGAGUAUGGAUGAAGCAUCAUGAUAAUCUGCAACUUAUUCUAGAAUUGCUAAAAUAAAUUAAAUAAAAUCUAAAAUAAAUGAAAAUAGCAAAUUCAGCAAAGUAUUAGCAACUGUUGAAUUUGAAGUGGAGGGUAUAUAGGUGGACUUUUUUGAGUUUGAAAAACUUAAUACUAAAAAGUUGGGAAAUAUAUAUGCUUUAAGAAGAGACUUUACCAUCUAGGCCUUUGGGGUCAUUAUUUUGUUUAUUUCUGGAUGUCAGUCAGUAGCAUUUCAGAGUGAUUUUGAAAAAAUACCAACAGGUAAAUGUGAUAGAACAGAAUUAAAGCGAGGCUUUGGUUUUCAUUCACCAGAAUCGCUACUCCAAGUUUCUGAGAACUCUGCAGACAUCUGCAUUCAUUGUGUUUUUGGUUUAUACUUGCUAUGGGAAUUAAAAGUGACAGGCUGUAUUCUCUGUUAGAGCAAAUACUAACAGGUUCAUCUGAUACUCUUUGGUUCAGUACACUGGCCCAUCCCUUAUUGUUAAGCAGUUAAAACUAUCAUAUUCAUUAUCAUCAGCUAUUAGUUAUUCAAUGUCCAAAUUAGGAAGCAGCCUGUUAGUAGUUGACCCCUGAACAACUCAGAGGUUAGAGGCACUGACCACCCCCAUGCAUUUCAAAAAUCCAUGUAUAACUUUUGACUUCUCAAAAACUACUAAUAGCUUAGUGCUGACCAGAUAGACAUUUAUAGAUAACCUAAACAGUUGAUUAAUACAUUUAUAAUAUACUAUGUAUUAUAUACUGUGAUUUUUAUAAUAAAUGAGGAAAUAAAAUGUUACUAAGAAAAUCAUAAGAGAAAAUGCAUUAUAGUACUGUAGUGUACCGGAAAAAAAAAAAUCCAUGUUCAAAUCAGUGUUAUUCAAGGGUCAACUGUAAUUUGGAACUCUAUUUGUUUGACUCAUCCUUCACAGUUUUUUUUUUUUUUUUUUUUAAGAUUUUAUUUAUUUAUUUGACAGAGACAGAAAGCAGGCAUAAGCAGGGAGAGCAGCAGAGGGGAGAAGCAGGCUCCCCACCGAGCAGGGGGCCUGACUUGGAGCUCAGUCCUAGUACCCUGGGAUCAUGACCUGAGCCCAAGGCAGACGCUUAACCAACUGAGCCACCCAGGCGCCCCCCAACCUUCACAUUAUUAAGUCACCCUGGACAUUAAACAUGCUCAGAAAUCUGGUGAGGACAGGAAAGAUGGUGAAUCCAAGUGAAAAGAUCCUGUAAAUCUAAUGAUUGUUGGUCACUUUUCAACUAACUGAACACAUACACACCAAUACAAGAAUUCUGAACUGUUAGAGGACAAUUAAUAGGGAUUCUGAAAUAUUUCUUCUAUGCCGUCUCUGUUCAGAUUGGGAAUGCUCCAGACUGUGCUGGAUUACAAAUCAGGCCAGAGAAAUGCUUUCUCCUUUUUUUUAAAGCCAUUUUUCCAUCCAAGGAGCGUAUGUGUUUUAUACUCCUGGAUACAAAGAAUCCAGAGUACUUCAUUCACUACUUUACUGUAAAGGAGUGACACUUGGAAAGUAGAAUGAUGUCCUUAUUUUUUAUUUAUUUUUUUAAAAGAUUUUUUAUAUAUUCAUGAGAGACACAUAGAGGCAGAGACACAGGCAGAGGGAGAAACAGGCUCCAUGCAGGAAGCCCAAUGCGGGACUCGACCCGGGGUCCCCAGGAUCACACCCUGGGCUGAAGACAGCACCAAACCACUAAGCCACCCGGCUGCCCUAGAGUGAUGUCUUUAAAUGUGUGUCUUUAGGUUAGUUUAUAUUUCUUAGAGUCAGUUUUUGAAAUUUUAAUAUAAAUGGGGUUCCUAUGUCUCUAAGUGUCCAUAAUAUGACAUUUUACAUAUUUUCAAUAAUUUGAAAAGCCUGCCAUGUACAUGUAAUUUUAUCCUUAAUAAAGGUGUAAUACACAGGCUAAAACACCAGUGUUUUUUGCCUUUAACUGGAACUUAAUUAACUUAAUACUGUAACACUACUUCAUGCUGAUCAGAAAAUGUUACUGAUUAGUUCAUGGAGAAAUAAUAAAUGCAAAUUUGGAACAUCAAAACAUGGGUAUGUUGAAGAAAUGUGAUAAAAGCAUUGGAGGAGUCAUUGGAGGUAAAAAGAUUAUGAACUAUGCCUUCAAGAUACAUCAAGGUACUAUCAGCAUUAAAAAUCACAGUAUCAGUUAUAUUCAGUUAUUAUCAAGAUAAGACUGAAGGAAUAAGACAGGUCAGGUAAUUGCCAAGAAGGAGAAUGGUCAGGGAGAGGGGUGGUAGGGUAAGCAUUAUCUAGUAGUCUAGAUACUUAAGUUGUAAGCAACAAAAACAAACUAGCUGAGUUAAGCGUAAAAAAGGAAAAUUAUGCUGUAGUUCACCAAAUGAACAAGAAGCCUGGGGAGCAAGACCCAGAUCUGUGUAUACUGGUCAUGGGAGAAGCAGUCCCAUUUAUUAGUCACUGGUUCAAAACAUACCCUGCAAACCAUAGGGCAGCACCUCAACCUUGAAAGAUGUUUCAUUUUGGCUGCUACCAUAACUGAGUGUUUAAUGUGCCCCUCUAUCAUCCUAUAGGUUUAGCUCCUGGAUGUUGAGGUAGAUGAAAAAAGACCAGUAAAUCACAUAGAAAUUAACCUAUUACCUUAUUUGUCUCAUAGUAAAGUGAGUUAUUUGAUAUGAUACUGAAUGUAGUGUCUUGGUGUGUAAUGUCUUGAUGAUACCAUCCACUGAUGGAUGGUGCUCGCAGGAGCCUGAUGUGCUGGAAAAGCAAAUCUAAUCCAAUGUCUAUUAAAAUAAAAAAUACCGGGAA